AUUGAACGCUGGCGGCAGGCCUAACACAUGCAAGUCGAGCGGAGCGGCGGACGGGUGAGUAAUGCCUAGGAAUCUGCCUGGUAGUGGGGGAUAACGUCCGUAAACGGGCGCUAACACCGCAUACUAUCAGACGAGCUUAGCUCGGAUUAGCUAGCUGGUGGGGUACAGGCCUACCAAGGCGACGAUCCGUAACUGGUCUGAGAGGAUGAUCAGUCACACUGGAACGGAGACACGGUCCAGACUCCUACGUGAGGCAGCAAUGGGGAAUAUGGGACAAUGGGCUAUGGCCUGGUCCAGCCAUGCCGCGUGUGUGAAGAAGGUCUUCGGAUUUUAUAGCACGUUAAGUUGGGAUGCGUUACCAACAGAAUAAGCACCGGCUAACUUCGUGCCAGCAGCCGCGGUAAUAC
rnacentral:rRNA from 1 species